rnacentral:rRNA from 1 species
GAUGAACGCUAGCUACAGGCUUAACACAUGCAAGUCGAGGGGUAACGAGAGGAAAGCUUGCUUUCCUUGUCGACGACCGGCGCACGGGUGAGUAACGCGUAUCCAACCUGCCCCCAACUAGGGAAUAACCUUGCGAAAGUAAGACUAAUACCCUAUACUUUCCUCAGAUGUCAUCUGACGAGGAAUAAAGAUUUAUCGGUUGUGGAUGGGGAUGCGUCUGAUUAGCUUGUUGGCGGGGUAACGGCCCACCAAGGCAACGAUCAGUAGGGGUUCUGAGAGGAAGGUCCCCCACAUUGGAACUGAGACACGGUCCAAACUCCUACGGGAGGCAGCAGUGAGGAAUAUUGGUCAAUGGGCGGAAGCCUGAACCAGCCAAGUAGCGUGCAGGAUGACGGCCCUAUGGGUUGUAAACUGCUUUUAUACAGGAAUAAAGUUAGCCACGUGUGGUUAUUUGUAGGUACCGUAUGAAUAAGGACCGGCUAAUUCCGUGCCAGCAGCCGCGGUAAGAC